rnacentral:tRNA from 1 species
GCCUCUGUAGCUCAAUUGGAUAGAGCACUGGAUUUCGGUUCCAGGUGUUGGGGGUUCAAGUCCUCCCGGGGGCACUA